CAGGCUUAACACAUGCAAGUCGAGGGGCAGCAUGGUCUUAGCUUGCUAAGGCCGAUGGCGACCGGCGCACGGGUGAGUAACACGUAUCCAACCUGCCGUCUACUCUUGGACAGCCUUCUGAAAGGAAGAUUAAUACAAGAUGGCAUCAUGAGUCCGCAUGUUCACAUGAUUAAAGGUAUUCCGGUAGACGAUGGGGAUGCGUUCCAUUAGAUAGUAGGCGGGGUAACGGCCCACCUAGUCUUCGAUGGGUAGGGGUUCUGAGAGGAAGGUCCCCCACAUUGGAACUGAGACACGGUCCAAACUCCUACGGGAGGCAGCAGUGAGGAAUAUUGGUCAAUGGGCGAGAGCCUGAACCAGCCAAGUAGCGUGAAGGAUGACUGCCCUAUGGGUUGUAAACUUCUUUUAUAAAGGAAUAAAGUCGGGUAUGGAUACCCGUUUGCAUGUACUUUAUGAAUAAGGAUCGGCUAACUCCGUGCCAGCAGCCGCGGUAAUACGGAGGAUCCGAGCGUUAUCCGGAUUUAUUGGGUUUAAAGGGAGCGUAGAUGGAUGUUUAAGUCAGUUGUGAAAGUUUGCGGCUCAACCGUAAAAUUGCAGUUGAUACUGGAUAUCUUGAGUGCAGUUGAGGCAGGCGGAAUUCGUGGUGUAGCGGUGAAAUGCUUAGAUAUCACGAAGAACUCCGAUUGCGAAGGCAGCCUGCUAAGCUGCAACUGACAUUGAGGCUCGAAAGUGUGGGUAUCAAACAGGAUUAGAUACCCUGGUAGUCCACACGGUAAACGAUGAAUACUCGCUGUUUGCGAUAUACAGCAAGCGGCCAAGCGAAAGCGUUAAGUAUUCCACCUGGGGAGUACGCCGGCAACGGUGAAACUCAAAGGAAUUGACGGGGGCCCGCACAAGCGGAGGAACAUGUGGUUUAAUUCGAUGAUACGCGAGGAACCUUACCCGGGCUUAAAUUGCAGAUGAAUUACGGUGAAAGCCGUAAGCCGCAAGGCAUCUGUGAAGGUGCUGCAUGGUUGUCGUCAGCUCGUGCCGUGAGGUGUCGGCUUAAGUGCCAUAACGAGCGCAACCCUUGUUGUCAGUUACUAACAGGUUCUGCUGAGGACUCUGACAAGACUGCCAUCGUAAGAUGUGAGGAAGGUGGGGAUGACGUCAAAUCAGCACGGCCCUUACGUCCGGGGCUACACACGUGUUACAAUGGGGGGUACAGAGGGCCGCUACCACGCGAGUGGAUGCCAAUCCCCAAAACCUCUCUCAGUUCGGACUGGAGUCUGCAACCCGACUCCACGAAGCUGGAUUCGCUAGUAAUCGCGCAUCAGCCACGGCGCGGUGAAUACGUUCCCGGGCCUUGUACACACCGCCCGUCAAGCCAUGGGAGCCGGGGGUACCUGAAGUGCGUAACCGCGAGGAGCGCCCUAGGGUAAAACUGGUGACUGGGG
rnacentral:rRNA from 1 species